GCAGCAGCACAACCAGGGCGCACCUGCGCUCCCCACCGGGACCUUCCUGCAGGCACCCGGCUCUGAAAUACUUGCACAGGUAUCUGAACACCGGCUCUGCAACAUCUGUCCAGCUGUGCUCACAGCCACCUGUGGCCCCACCAAGUGCUGAAUGCAGCGCUGCUCUUUUGGGAGCUGCACUUUGAACAGCAAGAAUGCAGACAAACUAUUUCUAGGAAUGGUGCAGUGCGGACCUUUGUGUUUUGAGUUGUCACUCCCUGCUGUUUUCCAGUUGCGAGGGAGGAUCUGAGGGGAAGGAAUGACAGGUUUCUUUCUCAGGAAUGUUUUGAAUUUUUUCUUUUUGUCUGGAAAAUUAAGUUUAAUCCAGCAUCCCCCUUGCUCCCCAGCCUCUUUGGGGGAUGACUCCUGCUGAGCAGUAGUGAGUUUACAAAGAAGCAAAUGCAUCCAACCAUUUUUGGACAGGGCUUCAGAACGUGCAGCAGGACUGUUGCUGGUCUACGACAGGGAGGGCAGGAAGAGUGCUGUGAACUCGAGCCCAGGAUCACAUUAGCAGCAUUUCUGCUAAUCCCGAAGGGAAAAGUGAUUACAGCAGAGCAAAAGCUUCCCAUACAGGCACACUGGUGUUUUGAUGCAGGCAAUGCCGGUCUCCUGAGGGUCACUGGGUGUAGGGUCCCAGCUGCAGCAUCCCCGCCGGGCAGGGUUAACACCAGCACACCGUGACCAGGCAGGCAGGAGCAGACAGCCACCCGUGGGGACAGGGGGAGACAGGCUCCAGCCCUGAGCUCCUUGCAGGAGAUGAUGUCACUGAGAUCUGCCUGUUUCCAAUCUCCAGCUGCUGGUAGGAGGCCCCAUUACCAACUGUCUGAGCAUUUCAGGCUGUUGGAAAAUGUACAAAGAGGGCUGUGAAUUUGGGCAGAUCAGCAUGAGAGCAGUCUUUUAAAAUAAUAGACUGAAAGCCCGAUGAUUGCUAAAAUACCUGUGUUAAACUCAUCAAUUAAGAGUCUGUCAAGGCAGCCAAAGGAUCAUGAAGGAUCCAAAGAGAGGAGGAGGCGGGGAUGAAGAAAAGCAUUUGAAACUUCACUUCUAUGAAAUGCUCUGCUGAGAACUGUUCUGUGUAUGACAGAGAACCACCAGUUUUGAAGAAUUGUGGGACAGCAUCAAUCUGUGCUACAGCUCUACGGUAUUUUAAACUUUGCUGGAAUAAUUCCAGUGGCAAAUGGAAAACCUGUAUGACACCUAGCAGGAUGUUCAUGUGAGAAACGGCUACGAACUCAUCAAUGACAUAGAAGGCAACAUCUGCAAAACUCACUGCAGGGGGUUUGGACUGGAUUUAUUCCACACAACAGAUAAAGAUAGUAAAUAAUGAAGAUGCAAUUUAAGGGAGGAAAAUCUCAUUCUUGUGGCAUCCAUUUAAACAGGAGAUAUAGAACACAUCUGUACUAUGUUAGAACAGUGUAAUGAGAUUGCUCUCAAUACAAAAAGUAAAUGAAGACAAAAAUGAAAAAAAAAUUGGAAAUAGUUUAUUUGCUGCAUGAAGAAACCUUGUAAAUUACAUAUAAAGGAACUUGUUAUGCUGUAGUAUAUAAUUUCCAAUAUUCCACAAAGAUAAUUGUAAUAAAUAUACAAACCAAACCAAAGUAGAAGACUAAAUCCAUCAGGCAACCUACAAAAUGGUUCAUCAAGUUUUAUACUUGCAGCAUUAGCAUGCUUAAAAUUUUGUUCUUUUUGAAGUGAUGCAGCAAAAUUUUUUUUCACAUUUCUUUGGAGCAUUUUCAAAGCUGUCUAACUAUAAAAUACUGUUCAAAAUUAGACAUUAGUUAAACCACUCAAGAAAAGUAACACCAAGGUCUAACUGAUGCAAAGGUGGUGUUUUUCUUUUUGCUUUUAAAAUCCAUUUAGCAUUGCCAGAAUUAGGAAUUAUCUGAUAUAAGUGCACUAUGAGUCCAGUCAGCCUGAGGCACUGCUGACUCCUGUCAUAUUAUGACUCUAUAUAAACUUCAUAGGUUAUAUAGCUCUUAAAGAUUUCUCUAUUAAUAGAGACAUAUCCCCAUAGAAUUAAAAAAAAACACAAUACCAUAUUGAAGCCGCAAGCUUGUUAAAAUGGUUGUACCCUCAAGUGCAGUGUGUGCUUAAAACAUUUUCCCAUAGUUU